AAACGGAUAUCACAAAAAGGGUAAAAAAAUACCCGUUGUUGAAAACAGCUUUGCUACCCAUUAAUGGGUGAAAAAUAGUUGUGAACAUUUUUACAAACACGCCACAUUUUGGUCUCGUUAGCUGAACAGGACUGAACAUUUUCCUGCAACCAAAAUACGAAUAAAAUGGCAGAGAUAAAAGAAAUAUAGCAACAAGAAUGAUGACAUCUGCGACGAUUGGCGAACCAUCCUGGAAGCGGCACCAUCAAGGGCACCAUCCUCAUCAAUAAUUGGAAUUUCGAACAAUUUAAUUAUCAAAUAUGUGAUUGACAAUCAUCUCUGUAAUAAAAAUAAUAGGAGGAAUAUA